rnacentral:lncRNA from 1 species
GGGCCAUUAGAUUCUAGGCCAUGCUGGUGGGUUCUGGGCCAUCAGAUUCUAGACCAUGCCGACGGGUUUUGGGUCGUGCCCACGAGUUUUGAGCUGUGCCAAUGGGUUCUGGACCAUGCCAGCGGCUGUGGGCCAUGCUGUUGGAUUCUGGGUCAUCGGGUUCUGUGCUAUGCUGGUGGGUUCUAAGCUAUCAGAUUCUGGACCGUGCUGGUGGGUUC